CCUACGGGUGGCAGCAGUGGGGAAUAUUGGACAAUGGGCGAAAGCCUGAUCCAGCCAUGCCGCGUGUGUGAAGAAGGCCUUCGGGUUGUAAAGCACUUUCAGUCGGGAAGAAAGCCUUGGGGCGAAUACCCUCGAGGAAGGACAGCACCCACAGAAGAAGCACCGGCUAACUCCGUGCCAGCAGCCGCGUUAAUACGGAGGGUGCUAGCGUUAAUCGGAAUUACUGGGCGUAAAGCGCGCGUAGGCGGUCUGAUAAGCCGGUUGUGAAAGCCCCGGGCUCAACCUGGGAACGGCAUCCGGAACUGUCAGGCUAGAGUGCAGGAGAGGAAGGUAGAAUUCCCGGUGUAGCGGUGAAAUGCGUAGAGAUCGGGAGGAAUACCAGUGGCGAAGGCGGCCUUCUGGACUGACACUGACGCUGAGGUGCGAAAGCGUGGGUAGCAAACAGGAUUAGAUACCCUAGUAGUC
rnacentral:rRNA from 1 species